rnacentral:misc_RNA from 1 species
AGUGGUGAUUGGUGUUUGUGGGCAUGUCGGAUCCCUGCUCCGGGCAGCGACGGCAUUUCCCCCCACGCCUCUUCAUACGUGGGAAUGAGCUUUGAUUCGUCCGCGGUCGGUUUCCUGUAUGCAUACCUAUUGCGAGGGCACGCGGUUGGCUAAAACGGUCCCAUCUCCGCCUCGUGUCGGCGCUCCAUACGGGCGUUCGGUGCGGGGUGGAUCUCAAGGCUUGCGUUGUGUUUCGCGCCGYAUUCACCCAUAAAAUGGUGUUUGGGUUGGCGACCCACGACGUGAUGCCCCGUUGUCUCGGGUACGGAAUAUCGGGUGUGUUCGAGGCAUUGUCCUUUGAGCACCACAAAAAUGCGUUCUACGCUUGAUGCGAACGACGACUGCAUACGACCUUCGGCAUAGCACUCGUUGCUCGGUCGAAGUCGUGUCGGCGUCGAUGAGGGAUGC